rnacentral:rRNA from 1 species
UACAGAGGUCUCAAGCGUUGUUCGGAUUCAUUGGGCGUAAAGGGUGCGUAGGCGGCGGGGUAAGUCGGGUGUGAAAUCUCAGGGCUCAACCCUGAAACUGCACUCGAUACUGCUCUGCUUGAGGACUGGAGAGGAGACUGGAAUUCACGGUGUAGCAGUGAAAUGCGUAGAUAUCGUGAGGAAGACCAGUGGCGAAGGCGGGUCUCUGGGCAAUUCCUGACGCUGAGGCGCGAAAGCGUGGGGAGCAAACGGG